AGAGUCUCGGCCCACCCUGGGCAGGAGGCAGUAGUGCUCAGGAACCAGCAUGGACAUGAGGGCCCCCAUGCAGCUCCUCAGCCUCCUGCUGCUCUGGCUCCCAGGUGCCAGGAGUGCCAUCCAGCUGACCCAGUCUCCAGCCUCCCUGGCUGCAUCUCUAGGAGACACAGUCUCCAUCACUUGCCGGGCCCGUCAGAGCAUUAACAAGUGGCUAGCCUGGUAUCAACAACAACCAGGGAAAGCUCCUAAACUCUUGAUCUAUUCAGCAUCCACUUUGCAAAGUGGGGUCCCAUGCGGGUUCAAGGGCAGUGGAUCUGGCACUGAUUUCACCCUCACCAUCAGUGGCCUGCAGGCUGAAGAUGUUGCAACUUAUUACUGUCAGCAGCAUCAUAGUGCACCUCCCACAGUGUUAUAGGCAAGCCCAAAAACC